CUAGCUGACUCAUCCUAAUCCUUAAGGGAUAAGGCUGAAAUUGUACUGCCUCUGCAGGAAUGUUCCUUGGACUAGAAAGGGACCCUUGAACAAUUGUGGAUUCCUAAUGUGUAUUUAAAUUAACUUAGGGACCCAAAAUAAAAAAAGAACUUAACCAUAAAUAGAAACUACAGUUACUUAACAGAUUUAACGGCUAGGUACAACAAUGCAAGCUAAGGGUACUACUUUCUUCAGCCACGGUUUUCCUGUUCUUUAGUUGGUGACAGCUUCAUCUGCUUCAUUUCUCCUUCCUUCGAAACUUCCUUGUCCUCAAGGAAGAAUGAUGGAUAUCUGAUCUUCAUCACUUGAUAAUCUUCCCAUGUGGCAUGCUCCUUGGUCAUGUUCUUCCAGUGAAUCAAAAGUUGAGGGAUGACCUUGUUUCCCCUCUUUAUCAUCCUUCUUUCUAGUAUAUUUUCCGGUUCCUCACAGUAACUUACUGGCUGGAUCAACAAUUGGGGGGUGAGUGAAGUGGCUAGGGACCUUAUGACAAGGUUUUAGCUGAGAAACAUGAAAGGUGGGGUGGAUUGACAUUUGAGGGGGUAUAGACAAUUUGUAGACCACUGACCCCACCCUUUGAAUGAUCUGGUAAGGUCCAUAAAACUUGGCUGAUAGUUUGGUGAAAGCCUAAUUAGAGAGGGUGGCUUGUCUGUAUGGUUGUAUUUUGAGGUACACCCAAUCUCUUACUUCCAGUUGUCUAUCACUUCUUCCUUUGUUAGCUAAGGACUGCAUCCUUUGUUGUGCCCUUCCCAAAUGAUAUUAGAGCAUCUGAGAUUUGAGUUCCCUGGUAAUUAAGCUCCUAUCCACCUCUUCAUCUAUAACUUCUCCUGCGAUGUAAGGGAGAUGAAGUGGUGGUGGUUGACCAUAUAGGGCCUCAUAAGGGGUGGUCUGGAUAGCUGAAUGAAAUGUAGUGUUGUACCACCACUCUGCCAUAGGUAAGUAGAGGGACCAAUCCGAUUGAUUAUCAGAACAAAAGCAUCUUAAAUAUGUCUCUAAGGUUCUGUUUGGCCAUCAGAUUGAGGGUUGAGGGUGGUACGCAGUUGAAGUACUCAAGGUUACUCCAUGUGCUGAGAACAACUCUUGUCAAAACCUGCUAAGGAAAAUGGGGUCCCUAUCACUGACUAUAUUCUUAGGCAUGCCAUGUAGUUUAAAAACUUGAUCAAGGAAAACUUGAGCUACAGUCACAGCUGUGUGGGGAGUAGGGAUGACUGAGGGCUAUGAAUUGGCCGCUUUUGGUCAAUCUAUCUACCACUACCAUGAUGGUAGUCUUACCCUUAGACUUUGGCAACCCAUCAAUGUCCAUGCUAAUGUUGGACCAAGCAGAAGUAGGGAUUGCUAAGGGUUGUAGAAAGCUAGGUGAUGCUGCAGCAUCAUAUUUACUCCUUUGGCAUAUGGAACAACUCCUGACAUAAUUGUUAACAUCCUCUCUUAGCUUUUUCCAAUAGAACAUGUGUGACAGCCUCUUGUAAGUAUUUUCCAUUCCAGAAUGACCACCACUAGGAGCAUCAUGCCACAACUGCAUAAUGUCAUGCCUGAGUUGCUCAUCCUUCCCUAUCACUAACCUUCCAUAUCUCCUGAGUUGCUGGUUAUAGUAGGUGAACCCCUUAUGAUCUUUAUCCUGGUCUAUCAGUUUUUGGAUCAGUUCCUUGAGUUGUUCAUCCUCAUCCCAACUUGUUGGAAGAGAUUGGUUCCCACAGGGAUUAUUGAGAAUAGAAACAAGUAAGCAACUGGCACUCUUGAGAGGGAAUCAACAACUUUAUUCUCUCUUCCUUUCUUGUAUUCAAUCUGAAAAUCAAACUGCAUAAGCUUUGUUAUCCAUUUCAUCUGUGUACCAGUAUGAAGCUUUUAAUCAAGUAAAAACUUAAGAGCCUUUUGAUCUGUCCUUACAACAAACUGUCUUCUCAACAAGUAUUGUGGCCAUUUGGUUACUGCCAAAACCAGAGCCAAGAGCUCUUUGUCAUAAACAGAUAGAACCUGAUGUCUUGAUGAUAACCCCUUGCUUAGGUAUGCUAGAGGAUGUCCUUCCUGCAUCAAUACUGCACCAAUACCAAUGUCACAUGUAUCAGUUUCUACCACAAAUUGGAGUGUACUACUAGGCAAGCUGAGUACAGGUGCAUGAGUUAAAGCUUCCUUAAGUUGAUUGAAAGCCUGUGUAGCCUUAUCACUCCAAAUGAACCCUUCUUUUUUUAGAAGUUCAGUAAGAGGCUUGCUUAUCCAACCAUACCUCCUAAUGAACCUCCUGUAAUAGCCAGCUAGACCCAAGAAUCCUCUUAGUUCAUUAACAGAUUUAGGAGCAGGCCAGUUUUGCACAGCUUCAAUCUUCUUAGGGCCAGUGGUUACACCUUCUGCAGAGAUGAAAUGUCCCAAGUAUUGCACCCUGGUAUCACCAAAAGAACAUUUGCCCUUCCUAACAAAAGCUGAUGUUUGAUGAGCAGGUCAAACACAAUUCUCAGGUGCUGCAAAUGCUCUUCCAUGUUUCUGCUGUAAACAAGAAUGUCAUCAAAGAAAACUAGGAUGAAUUUCCUGAGGUAUACUUCGAAAACAUAAUUCAUGAGACCUUAGAAGCUUGAGGGGGCAUUAGUGAGGCCAAAAGGCAUCACUAAGUACUCAUAGUGACCAGAAUGUGUCCUGAAAGCAGUCUUCUGCACGUCUUCUCGAGCCAUCCUUAUCUGAUGGUAGCCCGACCUCAAGUCAAGCUUAGUGUACACCUUGGAACCCCCCAACUCAUCCAACAGUUCCUCAACAAUAGGGAUAGGGAACUUAUCCCUAAUAGUCAUCUUAUUUAGGGUUCUAUAAUCCACACACAGCCUCCAAGAGCCCAUCCUUCUUACCUACUAGCACCACUGGUGAGGCAUAAGGGCUACAACUAGGCUGUACUAUGCCUUGAUCCAACAUCUCUUGUACCAACUUUUCAAUUAUGUCCUUCUGUCUUGAUGAAUACCUGUAGGGUCUAGUGUUUACAGGAUUGCUAUCCCUUUGUAGUGGAAUCCUGUGAUCAAAUGUGGCCCUGGAUGGAGGGAGUUGUUGAGGGUGCCCAAACGACAUGUGAAAUUCCUCGAUCAAGGUCACAAUUUCAGGGUGGAUAUCCGCAUAGUAAAACCUUGAUCAUGAACAAAUGACCACUAUUGUGAGUCAUCUUGUUCAACGCCUUUGCAUCCACUAUCUUGGUGCUUUCCUCGACUCCUUGUAACUGUACCUUCUGGCAUAAAGGAUAGUGUAAGUUUCUGGAAAUUGAGCUGAAGAUCACCUAAUGGCAACAACCACUGCACUCCCAAAAUCAUAUCACAAGACCUUAAGGGAAGAAGUAGGAAGCUGUCAACAAAAGUAGUUCCUUUCAUCAUCCAUGUGAACCCUCUACACAUCUCAUUGGUUUGCCUGUUUCCCCAUCAGCAACAUUGAUAGACUGAGGUUUCACUGAUAUCACUUCCAACCCCAACUGUCUAGCAACUUCAUCAUCUAUAAAAUUGUGAGUACUUCCUGGGUUAACUAAGAUAUUGAGAGGUUUCUUCUCACUGUACCCUUUCACUCUUUGUGUGUGAAAUUCAGGAAGUCCAUUCAAGGCAUGAAUGGAUAUUUCACAUUUCUCCUCCACUCUAUCUUCAGGCUGUGCUUCUUCCUCCUGUACCUCCCCAUCAUCCAUUUCCAACAAAUAAAGUUGCUUAGAGGUGCUACAAUUGUGGCCAGGGACAAAUUUUUCCUCACAAAAGAAGCAAAGUCCCUUUUGUCUCUUCUCACUCAUCUCAGCUGGAGUUAGCCUCUUAGUAUUGCUUUUAUUGAGAUCCACAAUGUUAUCCCUUUUUGGUGGUUGAUAAUCUUUUCUAUGGGUUCCACCCCUGUGACUAGUCCCAAGAGAUGACCCCUUACUCUGACUAGUACCCCUACUAUACAUUGUAGCCCUGGUCAAUUUGAGUUGAGCAUUAACUUGCAAUUCUGUGUUCCUGGAUAAUUGAUAGGCUUGGGGAAGGGAAUGGGGUCUGUGAUUCUUGACAACAAACCUAAUCUCUAGUUUCAACCCAGUGAUAUAGGCACUAAUAGCAUACUCAGGUGGUAGAGUCAACCUAGUCAUGAUUCUGUCAAACUCCUUCUGAUACUUUUCUACUGAUCCAGUUUGUUUUACUAAUUUCAACUCAGCCAUGGGGUUUGAGUAUUCAGCCUCAAAUCUAUCCAUCAAGGCAUAAACAUAUUCUUCCCAUGAAGGAGGAGGUAGAUGAGCCCUACUCCUCACAUACGCCAAAUGCCACUCAAUGGCCAUAUCAUCAAAAUGGAUAGAUGCUACUUUAACUCUUAAAUUAUAAUCUACCUCAUCCAAGGAAAAGAAUUGUUCUACCUUGCAAAGCCAAGUUCUCAGCUGAGUACCAUUGAAUCUAGGGAACUCCAGCUUGGUCAUCCUAGACAUUGUUGGACCUCCAGCGUGAUACUGAGCCUGAAUUGGUACCAUUGUUUUUGUCAACUCCAGAUGUUUCUCCUGAUGUUUGUCCAACUUGGGCCGGCUGUGGAACUGGUCCCAUGGUUGCUACAUAUUGAGGCAUAGAUCCCACCCCUGCGUGAACUCUAGCUGGAGAACAAGAGGCAUUGGAGGUCUUCCAGUAUAAGGAGGUAAUCAAGCCAUGGGAUUACCUGAAGGGGUAUAAACCUCACCACCUCCAUCUUGCCUUUCAGUACUCUUACCCCGAUCUAACCUUCUAGUUUCUUCUAUAGAUUCCUUCAACUCAACCAAAGCCUUUUCAUGUUGAGCCUCCGAUUGAUUCUGUCUAACAUUAAAGUUGGCAAUCUCCACCGUCAUCCUUUCAAACAUUGACUUAAUUUCAUCCAUAUCUGUAGACAUUGCUAUCCCACAGAGCUCAAGAAAGUUCUCUGAUACCAAAUGUUGCAGAACAAUUAACAAGAGGUAAUGGGACAGUGUUCUAGUGGAAUAAUAGCCAGGUAAAUUGUAGAAAUGGAACUAACCUAGACUGAGAACUAAGCUAAGAACUAAUUACAGCUAAGAAAUUUUUCAUAUAUGAUAGUAAAAAUGGAAAUGACAUUACAAUUUAUAGUAUUUCAACCCCAGCUGACUCAUCCUAAUCCUUAAGGGAUAAGGCUGAAAUUGUACUACCUUUGCAGGAAUGUUCCUUGGACUAGAAAGGACCCUUGAACAAUUGUGGAUUCCUAAUGUGUAUUUAAAUUAACUUAGGGACCCAAAAUAAAAAAAGAACUUAACCAUAAAUAGAAACUACAGUUACUUAACAGAUUUAAUGGCUAGGUACAACAAUGCAAGCUAAGGGUACUACUUUCUUCAGCCACGGUUUUCCUGUUCUUCAGCUGGUGACAGCUUCAUC
rnacentral:lncRNA from 1 species